rnacentral:lncRNA from 1 species
AUGUUUGUCAAGUUGGCUUGGGUUGCCAUAAAUGUGAAUUAUCGAGUGAUGUGAUAUAUGAUUUUAAAAUGCACAGGUUUUAUGGAUGUGAAUUUGAUUGAAUGUUUUUCAGUGUCCUCAAACGUUAGUUUGGAUCCUGGAUGGAUUGGUCUGUGAUGAAAAUUGUUUUAAUAUCAUGGAUAAUAUUUUGAGGGGCGUGACAG